GAGAGAGAAAAAAAAAAAAAAAACAAACGUUAAUUUGGUUACGAAGAAUUAGAGUUGGCAAGAAAGCCGAAAAUCACCCAAAAAACUAUCUUCUUAUCCCCUGAUCUUUUCGUUCUCUUGGCCGGAACCGACCUUACAUAAAACAUCAUUGAAGGAAAGAAAGAAAGAAAAAGAAAUGAAGAAAGCUCUGUGAACAUACGUACCAAGCCUACAAUCACCCAACAAAACACCAAGCUAUUCAUUGUACCAUUCUACCUACUGAACCAUCUAAGAAAAUACCAGAGUUCCCCUUGCAACACGCCACCCGUGACGUAUAGACCAGCUGGAGAAAAGAAAAGGAGUACUCGUAAGAUUUAGCAGGAGUCCAAACUCUCCCCCGAGGCCAAACAGAACCAAGAGACAAGACCCAGAACUGAACCACCUAAGAGAAUAUCAAAGUCCCCCAUUGUAAUAUGCCACCUGGCCUUAUCAGUAAGCCAGCUGCUGCGCACGACACUAGCUGCACACGGCACGCUACCCAUCCUUGCACACGACAUCAAGAGGCGCCUUAUAAGAUUCAGUUUGGUCAGGCGAGACAACAGGUGACCGAGAGGCAAGGAGGCAGCCUUACCUGAAAGCCUCCCUCCUCCUCCUCCUCCUCCUCCUCUCCUCCUCCUCCUCCUUCAGCCAAUGACAGCCAGCAUGACAUCACUGGCCAAAGUGCAGGCACUUCCUUCACCAUCCCUGCACUGUGCCACCAUCCUACAGUGAAAUAUGGUGACACCCUACUUGCACUAUACCUACAAUACAGUGAGAGUGCCAGCCCAGCCUCCCCAACAGUGCCACGGUGCCAGACCAGCAUAUGGCACCUUAGCUGACAGUGACUGACUCCCACUGUACCGUACUUCACCAUACGCAGUCACUAUGGGCUGUACCACUGCACCAUACUGAUGUACCACCCGGUACAUGGCAAGGCAAGGCACUGUAACUGUGGAGGAUGCAGGGAAGGCACCAUACUCACCAUAGUCGCUGUAUUUAAUGGUGAUGCCAAGGUAUUACUGGGAGGAUACCAUAACAAGGCACAGGAGAUGUCACCAUACCUCCAUAGUCAUCAUUACUGGGACACCAUAGUACUGUAGAAGUCACCAUACCCAAGGCACCAUACAUACAUACAUACAUACGAGGUCACCAUACCAAGUCCCAAGUAGAAAGGACCUCCAUCACCAUGAAUUCACCACAACAACGCCUGCAUCACUACCAGGACACCAUGCCCCGGUCCCAUCACCAUCAGAACACCAUACCAGGGGUCCCUUCACCAUCAAGACACUGUACCAGGAAGCAGUCACCACGAAGUCACCAUUAGGAAGCUGUAUCAUCACCAGCUCACCAUCCCAGGACCCCCAGUCACCAUCAAUGCACCAUACCAAGAUUACCACCAUCAUAUCACCAGUUACUAAGAAGCCAUCACUAUCAAGGAGGCCUGUCACCAUGAAGUCACUGUAAGACCUCACCAUCACCCGGUCACUAUAGAAGGGCUCCAUCACUAUAAGACUCCAUAAAUGGCCCUAUCACCAUUCUAUCACUAUACUCACCAUACUAGUAAGUCACUAUGCUGAAACACCAUCACUGCCAUGCACUAUACAAAGCAGUACAUCGCCAUGGCACCAUCAUCACCAUCACUGUGUUGGCACCAUUCUCUUGACACCAUAUUCGGCCAUCACCAGCACCAUACAAGACACCAUAACAGUCUUUACACUCAAUUAAUAUUCAUUGUAAUUUUUUUUUAUCAUUAUUAUUUAGUUCAUAUAGAUAUUUACUUUUUUUUUAUGAAUGUGAUGGAUGGUGUGUGUAUGAAUGUCUUCCUCAGAACAUGUAUACAUAUAGUGCUUGUAUAUGUGUAUUAUGCACUGAGGGAUUGGAGUAUGCAUGUGAUAUAUAUAUACUUUUAACACACACACACACACACACACACACACACACACACACUUUCACAUAGACUAUAAUUACAUACAUAUUCAGUAUUUACAAGUCAUAUUCUCAUUUUCAUAAUAUUACUUGAGGUUUAAACAACAACAACAACAUCAAUAACAACAACAACAACAACAACAACAACAACAUCAACUUCUACUACUACUACUACUACUACUACUACUACUACUACUACUACUACUACUACUACUACUACUACUACUACAUUACUAUCUAUAAAUUCCUUCCCUCUUCAGCCUUGUAUCCAGGAAUCAUAUUUUUAAGUUUCUACAGGUGGAUUAACUUCAUCUCUAAAGCUCCAUAUGUGUGGAUCAAUUUAAGUUAAUUAUAUUAAAGGUUUAUAUUAAAACCACACAAAAAAAAUUACUGUAUAAGUAAUUUUACUAAGUGUAUCAUUAUAAACAUUCAUUUUUACA